rnacentral:lncRNA from 1 species
UUUUUUUUUUUUUUUGGUCCCUUAAGAAGGCAUCAUGUCAAUUGCCAUUGAUUGACAGUCAGUGCUGCCUCUUAGAUUCAAAAAGGCAGAAAAUUCCCCAUGGAGGUCAUGAACCAAAAUGUCCUGAGCUAUGGAAGCAAAGGGAACAGGGCUUUCUGUAGGGUAUGUUAAUAAUGCAGAGAUAAAGCAGGUAAGACAGGAGAGCAAUGUCUAAGAGCAACAGGGAAGACAACAGCUGUUGGACCAGAGGAGAAACUAUUGUAGUAACAACUUCUUGUUCACUUUAAUGAGAAUUAACUGAAGAAUCAGCAUGGGCCAGAACUGACUCCUCCUCUGAAUGAAAAAGAAAAAGAAAGAAAGAAAGAAGAAAGGCUAUUAGCUUUAAAGGAAAUUUAAUUUUAAAAACUGGACACACAUAAGGCUUCUCAGUAAUUCUAAGGUUGCAUCAUCGGACCAGUCAGGCCAAAAGCUAAAAGCAGACAUUAAGUCAUUUCUCUGUGUGUGAAGUACUGGAUAUAAAAAGAAAGAUGAUAAGUGAGAACUUUUGACAAAGGACCUUGAUAAUAGGAUUUUUCUAAGCAGAAAUUUUCAGCCUGGGCUCCUGUGGAGACAAUGUGGGAGCAGAACACAGACUCCAGAGCAAGGUUACCUGGGUUCAUGAAUCCGCCCGACUCCUGUAGACUCACAAUAUGAUUGUGUGUCUUCCGCAUUAACAUUUCACCAUCAUAAAAUGAGUUAAAAGGCCUUAACUUAGAGGGUAACUGUAGGAAACAAGCAGGCUAAUAUGUGGAACUCACCUAACGACAUCUCUACCUAGCACACUGCAUGAUCAAUAAAUACUAGCAAUUAUUUUCAUUUUAAAACAACAUUCCAUCAUUUAUUAUAACUAUUGCUUAGAAAAUGCAAAGUUUGUAAAGAUACUUUGGUGUUAAGUAAUUUACUUGGGUUAACAAAAAAAGAAAAAGAAAAGAAAAAGAAAAACCAGCCACAAUAAGUGUGGGAUUUUCUUAUUCUAGUAAUCAAUGCUGGAGGGGAUUUUGCUUCUUCAAUCAAUGCUAAACUAACAAUUCAGUUGGUUGUUGACAAGGCUGCUGACAGCACAAAAGCCCUGAAGUUGUUCUAAGCCUCUCAGGACUAUGCCCUACUGAAACACUCUAUUUUGGUGAUGGCAGACACCAUAGAAGAAAUAGCUCAGUAAGUAAAGAGGAAGAAUUCAAUCAUCUCAUUUCAGAUGGAAAACAUGUAGAAAUUACCUGUCCCCAAACCCUCAUGCUGCAGUGGGAAAACUGUGAGAGACAGGGAGGUUCAGUGCUAUAAAUAAAGUCACACAGCCAUUCAGCAAUGGCAGAGCCAAGAACUCUAGGAAUGUGGGAAUCCCACGUUUGUGAUUCCCAGAGUCCUGUUCUUGCAGAUGCACCAGGCAGCCUCUCCUCACCAUGAGCUCCAUGAAGUCAAACACAAUUCAAUGUGACUGAGGCUCGUUUCCUUCUUGACAAAAGAAUAGUCACUUGAUUCCACAAACAAAAUUAAUAC